AUGUAAUGUAAACAUGUCGCGCUACAGCUGUUUGACAGUUGAGAAGCUGAAGACAGAGUUGCGAUGCAGUGGAGCAACUACACGCGGAGGAAGAUCGAUUUGAUUGAAAGAUUGGAGUCCUACGACAGGAAUAAUAACUUCUACCACUGAGAAGGUGACAUAAAGUUACCAAAGCCUGUAUGAUUUGAAUCAUUGCCAGUCACAGGGUUCCAGCAACUGAUGCCAUCACACAAAGACAGGUUGUCGCCCAUGGCCUCUUCAGAUGUCGAGGCAUAUUUUAGAUACGGGUUAGCUGUAGAUAAUGAAGAGACUGCAGAUUUGAGAAGGGACAUCAACUUUUGAAAUCCAAUCAUGUCCUGGCUUGCAGUGUUGUCAUUGAUCACCAUGCCUACUUCAGUAGUCAGUGCUGCUUUGAAGAA